rnacentral:lncRNA from 1 species
CUGUUUCUCGUUUUAAAAAAAGAUGUCCUGGCCUUCCUGUUUUUAAUUUGUAGCGCUCUAGGGCUCCAGGAGAUAGAACACGGCAGCCAUGCCAUGCAGAUCGUGCAGAACAGCCGGUCNCCGUGAGCUGAGGCUUUCUCUCGCUGCCUGGGACGCCAGCAGAAACAGAAUGGCCGCUGUGCCGCUUGAGAAAGGGCAACGGGACAGCCAUGUGCUCCCGAAGACCCNCUUGGCUUCCUGGCUCAAAUUCACUCAGGAGUAGUUACAUCCUGUCACUAGUGAUCUUGGGCCAGGUCCUUCUUCCCAGCCCAGGGUACCUCACCGGGUUGUGCAGAUCACACAGAGGGGAGAAUUUCACGCUAACUUCAACUGAAGCAAAGGCAGUCUGUAAAUGCCANAAAUAAGCAGAGUGCCUUUUGUCCUCCUCUCAGGAACAUUUGGUUUAUUUCCGUCCUGCCCUCUUCUACCUCUCAAACAGGAUGAAGCGGAGAAGAAAGAGGAGAAGGAAAAGAAGAAGGAGCCUGAGCCGUCCUUCCAGCUCCUGGACAACCCAGCUCGGGUGAUGCCUGCCCAGCUCAAAGUCCUCACCAUGCCCGAGAGCUGUCGGUACCAGCCUUUCAAGACUCUUUCCAUUGGUGGCAUCAUUGUCUUGAGAGAUACCAGCGAGGACACAGAAGAACUGGUNGAGCCUGUGGCUGCGCACGGGCCGAAGAUCGAGGAGGAAGAGCAAGAACCGGAGCCACCGGAGCCAUUUGAAUACAUUGANGAUUAGGAUGCCGGGGGCCGACGGCAUCUCGCCACCACGUGUGAUCUUGGGAAACUGCCAGCAGCAAGGCAGCCUGCAUUUUAUGGUUGACGAUGAAACCUGUGCUCUCUUUAAUGUACUCUUUCACAAAAAACUGGUUUUGAAAAUAAAUACAUUUUUAAAACCCAGUGGUUACCUUGUUCCUGGGCAUUUUUCCCCACUGGGAGAGGAGGAAGCGUUCAGUAAGAGUCCUAAAGCAGGUUUUAUUUGUAAUCCCCCUGAGGUUCCCUUCUUUGCAGUUUCAAGGUUGAACUGAAAAUUGGAAGUUUGGUCACGGAAGAAUUCAUGACUUGUGCCCUCGUAUCUAGCGCUUUCUCAAUCAGGAAUACUUAAAACCAGCCCAUAUAGGCCAAACCAUAGGGAAAACGCCAGGAUUCAUGGGGAAUUUCCAGGGCGCUUUGACAUAACGACUUGUGGCNCAGUGGUUAAGAGCGCCAGGCUCGAACGCAAAAGUUCCUCUGUUCAAAUCUCCGCUGCUCCAUGGAAGCUCGUUGGUCUUCUCAGCUAUGGGUAAANUAGCUUCACUGCCUUGUGAGUCUCUUGGGAAAGGCAAAUGCUAAAACAGAAAACCCUGUCAGAAAAUCCAGAAUGAACCCUCUAAUCUCUUCAGAAACAUCUGCACUUGUAAGUAAGUAAGUAAGUAAUUAAAUAAAUAAAUGUUUAUGCCACUUUAUAUCUGAAGU